rnacentral:rRNA from 1 species
UACGUAGGGUGCGAGCGUUGUCCGGAAUUACUGGGCGUAAAGAGCUCGUAGGCGGUUCGUCGCGUCGGCUGUGAAAACCCGAGGCUCAACCUCGGGCCUGCAGUCGAUACGGGCAAACUAGAGUACUGCAGGGGAGACUGGAAUUCCUGGUGUAGCGGUGAAAUGCGCAGAUAUCAGGAGGAACACCGAUGGCGAAGGCAGGUCUCUGGGCAUUAACUGACGCUGAGGAGCGAAAGCAUGGGGAGCGAACGGG